rnacentral:lncRNA from 1 species
ACACUACCUUUUCUUAAUUGUCAUGAUCCCUUGAAAAGGAGCUUUCUAGAUCUGCUACAUGGCAUUUUUAGAGGAGUUCAUGGAGCCUGAAACCCUCUUGCUGCUGUAGAAAUCUGCUGCUACCUGUCCUGACCACUGUGGAUACAAGAAUAUCCAGAAUUGGAGGGGACCCACUAGGAUCAGAGUCCCACCUGAAAAUCAGACCAAAUGUCAGCAAGCACUUCCAGAUACUUCUUGAAUUCCUGAAGCUUGAUGCUGUGACCACUGUCCUGCGGAGCCUGUUCCAGUUCCUGACCAACUUCUGGUGAAGAGCCUUAGAAUCUUUUCCUGAUGUGCUAUCUGAC